rnacentral:rRNA from 1 species
AACGAACGCUGGCGGCAUGCCUAACACAUGCAAGUCGAACGAGACCUUCGGGUCUAGUGGCGCACGGGUGCGUAACGCGUGGGAACCUGCCCUUAGGUUCGGAAUAACUCCCCGAAAGGGGUGCUAAUACCGGAUAAUGUCUUCGGACCAAAGAUUUAUGGCCUUUGGAUGGGCCCGCGUUGGAUUAGCUAGUUGGUAGGGUAAAAGCCUACCAAGGCGACGAUGCAUAGCUGGUCUGAGAGGAUGAUCAGCCACACUGGGACUGAGACACGGCCCAGACUCCUACGGGAGGCAGCAGUGGGGAAUAUUGGACAAUGGGCGAAAGCCUGAUCCAGCAAUGCCGCGUGAGUGAUGAAGGCCUUAGGGUUGUAAAGCUCUUUUACCCGGGAUGAUAAUGACAGUACCGGGAGAAUAAGCUCCGGCUAACUCCGUG